ACACUUCAAAGCUGCAGAUUUAGAUCCUUUGGGUGGAUAUAUCAGGUCUUCACAAGAAUCAGAAAGAUUGUUUGGAUACAUGAAUCUGAAAUUGACAGCCAAAACAAAAUGAAACUUAUACUCUUUACCAAAAUAUUGUACAACUUAGUAGUGUUCAUCUAGCCAAGAGAAAUACUACAAGUUUCUCUAAAUAAUAAUCAGAGUAUUCGUACCCUUUUUGUUCUUCUUUUAUACCGAUGGCAAGCCGCAACCUCCAACAUUCCUUCCGAGGAUCCUUGCUGCCAAUCCCUACCGAGGCCAACCACGACGUCGCUGCUGACCUAUCCCCUCACGGACUCUCCUUCGGACCUCGUUCUUCAUUCGCGCCUCACAGCUAGACGAGAAAGAGAGAGCUUCGCUGCUUUCGUCUCUUCCCCUCCUUCGGUUCGGCCAGACACCAGAGAAGCCCCCUCAUUCAAUCGAUUACCAACACCGAGACCACCUCCCUUCCGUUUCCGAGCUUCUCUUUCCCCGAAUCUAGCCAAUAUCGGGGGCGUAUGGUCGCUGCCUUCGUGCCUCUUCUUCCCUCUCUUCGUUCGUCUGCUUGUAGUUGUUCUUCCCUUUGCUCGAUCAACAAAAGGAAACGGGCAUAAAAAGCCCUAACUUUUUAAGUUGGACCUUUAAACACAAUUAGUCCCUCGAUGAGAAUCCUUUUCAUAAAAGCGCUAAUCCCUUUUAAAUUCUAUUAAAAAUGACAAAAUGAACCCUUAUCAAAACAUUUAUUUGAAAUCAAUGGAAACCCACAAAUAUUGGACCCAUUUAUUCAAAAAAAAGCUCUUCCUUGGUUAUUUUAAGGAAAACUUAUCCGAAUAUUCAAAAAUUAAUCCUAUUUGAAUCAUUUUAGUCCCUCCUUUUAUUUAUUUUAACCAAAGAAAUCUUAUUUUUGUUAAUUAAAUUACCGAAAUGGCCCCCAAUAGUUUAAAUUUAUUAUGAAAUGGUCCUGAGAGUAUCUCAAAGUUCAAGAAUGAUGAAUUUGCGGUUUCUCACGACAAGUUUCUCAAAAAAAAAAAACGUAUUCA
rnacentral:lncRNA from 1 species